rnacentral:rRNA from 1 species
UGUAAACUGCUUUAAGUUGGGAAGAACAGACCGGUUUCGAAUAGGGACUUGUUUCGACGGUACCUUUAGAAAAAGCCCCGGCUAACUCCGUGCCAACAUCCGCUGUAACACGGGGGGUGGCAAGCGUUGUCCGGAAUUAUUGGGCGUAAAGGCGCGCAUGCGGGAUGAUCAGUCUGAGGUGAAAUCUUUUGGCUUAACCGAAAGCUUGCCUUGGAUACUGUCAUUCUUGAGUUCGGAAGACGGAAGUGGAAUUCCUGGUGUAGCGCGUGAAAAUGCGUAGAUAUCAGGAAGUACACCCGGUGUCGAAGUCGGCUUCCUUGGUCCGAUACUGACGCUGAGGCGCGAAAGCCUGGGGAGCGAACAGGAUUAGAUACCCUGGUAGUCCACGCUGUAAACGAUGGGUACUAGGUGUUGGUCCUUUUUAGGAUCAGCACUGCAGCUAACGCAUUAAGUACCCCGCCUGGGGAAUACGACCGCAAGGUUGANACUCAAAGGAAUUGACGGGGGCCCGCACAAGCGAUGGAGCAUGUGGUUUAAUUCGAUGCAACGCGAAGAACCUUACCUGGGCUUGAACCGUAGUCGAAAACCCCUUGAAAAGGGGUCCUCCUUCGGGACGGUUAUAGAGGUGCUGCAUGGCUGUCGUCAGCUCGUGCCGUGAGGUGUUGGGUUAAGUCCCGCAAC